rnacentral:rRNA from 1 species
UACGUAGGGGGCAAGCGUUGUCCGGAAUCAUUGGGCGUAAAGAGCGUGUAGGCGGCCCGGUAAGUCCGCUGUGAAAGUCCAGGGCUCAACCCUGGGAUGCCGGUGGAUACUGUCGGGCUCGAGUCCGGAAGAGGAGUGUGGAAUUCCUGGUGUAGCGGUGAAAUGCGCAGAUAUCAGGAGGAUCACCAAUGGCGAAGGCAGCACUCUGGGACGUGACUGACGCUGAGACGCGAAAGCGUGGGGAGCAAACAGG